CUGAUUAGCUAGUUGGUGGGGUAAAGGCCUACCAAGGCGACGAUCAGUAGCCGGCCUGAGAGGGUGAACGGCCACACUGGGACUGAGACACGGCCCAGACUCCUACGGGAGGCAGCAGUGGGGAAUCUUCCGCAAUGGACGAAAGUCUGACGGAGCAACGCCGCGUGUAUGAUGAAGGUCUUCGGAUUGUAAAGUACUGUCUUUGGGGAAGAAUGACUGGCUUGAAAAUAUUGAGUCUGAAUGACGGUACCCAAGGAGGAA
rnacentral:rRNA from 1 species